rnacentral:rRNA from 1 species
CACGCCGUAAACGAUGAAUGCCAGUCGUCGGGCAGCAUGCUGUUCGGUGACACACCUAACGGAUUAAGCAUUCCGCCUGGGGAGUNACGCGCAGAACCUUACCAACCCUUGACAUGGGGGUCGCGGGACCAGAGAUGGUCCUUUCAGUUCGGCUGGACCCCACACAGGUGC